AGAUUGAACGCUGGCGGCAUGCUUUACACAUGCAAGUCGAACGGUAACAGGCCGCAAGGUGCUGACGAGUGGCGAACGGGUGAGUAAUGUAUCGGAACGUGCCCAGUCGUGGGGGAUAACGCAGCGAAAGCUGCGCUAAUACCGCAUACGAUCUAUGGAUGAAAGCGGGGGACCGUAAGGCCUCGCGCGAUUGGAGCGGCCGAUAUCAGAUUAGGUAGUUGGUGGGGUAAAGGCUCACCAAGCCAACGAUCUGUAGCUGGUCUGAGAGGACGACCAGCCACACUGGGACUGAGACACGGCCCAGACUCUACGGGAGGCAGCAGUGGGGAAUUUGGGACAAGUGGGCGCAAGCCUGAUCCAGCAAUGCCGCGUGCAGG
rnacentral:rRNA from 1 species